rnacentral:rRNA from 1 species
UACGGAAGGCAGCAGUGGGGAAUAUUGCACAAUGGGCGCAAGCCUGAUGCAGCCAUGCCGCGUGUAUGAAGAAGGCCUUCGGGUUGUAAAGUACUUUUCAGUCGUGAGGAAGGUGUUAAGGUUAAUAACCUUAGCAAUUGACGUUAGCGACAGAAGAAGCACCGGCUAACUCCGUGCCAGCAGCCGCGGUAAUCGGAGGGUGCGAGCGUUAAUCGGAAUUACUGGGCGUAAAGGGCACGCAGGCGGUUAAUAGUUGGAUGUGAAAUCCCCGGGCUUAACCUGGGAAUGGCAUUCAAGACUGGUUAGCUAGAGUCUUGUAGAGGGGGUAGAAUUCCAUGUGUAGCGGUGAAAUGCGUAGAGAUGUGGAGGAAUACCGGUGGCGAAGGCGGCCCCUGGGACAAAGGGACCUGACGCGUCAUGUGC